GGGAAACCCUGAGCGGCCCCGUCUGACCAGAGAGCCGCAGUUCACCUACUGUCUCUCCCAAACGCGGAUCCAUUUGCCAGCCCAGUGUGUCUGGAGCGGGGAGAAGAAUAGCACUCUCCAGAAAUCCUCCAGAUUCUCUGCACCAGAUGAGGGUGCUGAGACGUCCGAUGCUGCAGACCAAGCAGAUACUGGAUUCUUGGCCUUUCCAAUACUCAGAUUGCCACUGUAGAACUACCCAGCCCCUCUGUGGGAGCUUCCCCCUUCUGUUUACAAGUCAUUCUGUCGGAGCUGAAGUGUCUUCUGUCCCAGGAUUCAUCUGAGGAGUGUGCCUGAGAAAGUCUGCCUACUGGGGCAGCUCUUCAGUGGGGUUUGAGAAAGGAAAAUGACUAAGAGCCUCUAGCCCAUCCCUGG